rnacentral:lncRNA from 13 species
GUUUGGAUGCCUGUCUGAGCUCAAACUAAUCUGAGCCUCUCUCUCUCUCCAAUCUCCCUCCAGUUUAGAUUUUAUGCUUGUGAAAGGGCUCCGUUGGUAAUUUUGAUGUCUGCAGCUUUCCAUCUGUAUGACCAGACACAUUCUCACCAGCUUCAUAUAUCAAGAGGAAGGGAGACUUGGUAGCUUUUCCUUCUGUUAACUGCUGGCAUCAGUUGAGUGAUGCAGACAUUUUUCUAUUAAGAACUGAGCUGAGACUGAACCUUCAUUUUGUAUGAGACUGCACAGAGGUCGUCUGAAGUUUCUCCCAGCUGAUAUUUAUAAACCAAGAUCAGUUGUAUUGAAGCAGCCAGCCUACUGUGUUUACAUAGCCAAUUCCCUUUAUUAAAUACCUCGAAUGGGACCAACUUGAACAGUACCAGCCUCUUCUCCACAGAGAUGCUGACCUUGAUCAUCAACCCACAAAACCAAUGGACAGCAUCAGUCUCCCUCCAGACAUUGUAGACUACUACUCCCAACACAGGCCACCUGUCUUGAAGAUGUGUAUCUAUAGUCAGGGGAAAGAGCCAUGUGCAAGAGUUUGGCUGGAUCACUACAAAUCUAUCAUGACUCUGGGAAAUCAACCGCUGUGUGAGCUCCUGUCUAUUGAUGAGGGAACACGCCUUCAUUUAAAAGGAACACAUGGAUUGACUCAAGGUGUAUUGUUCUGAAUCUUACCGUUAAGACUUCCUCAACAAGUUACCGACCUUCUGAUUGAGUCUCCUCAUCAGCUGAAAUGUUUACUCCUAUAGAGUUAAUGACAGUGUCUGUGUUAGAGGAUUUGGUCAAGAUGAAAUUAGAUAUUGCAAUGGAGUGCUGAGGACAACAGCUGACACACUUAAAAUGCUUGCUAAAUGUGUACAAGUACACAAGGUCUGUUUUAUUAAUAAAAACCAACAUCUAUGUCA